UACGUAGGUGACGAGCGUUAUCCGGAUUUACUGGGCGUAAAGCGCUUGUAGGUGGUCUUGUAAGUUGGGCGUGAAAACACCGGGCUUAACUCGGUGACGCCGUCCAAUACUGCGAGACUGGAGGAUGUCAGAGGAAGGUGGAAUUCCUGGUGUAGUGGUGAAAUGCGUAGAUAUCAGGAGGAACACCCGUGGCGAAGGCGGCCUUCUGGGGCAUUCCUGACACUGAGAAGAGAAAGCUAGGGGAGCAAACAGG
rnacentral:rRNA from 1 species